rnacentral:misc_RNA from 1 species
GAUGAAGAACGUAGCGAAAUGCGAUAAGUAAUGUGAAUUGCAGAAUUCAGUGAAUCAUCGAAUCUUUGAACGCACAUUGCGCCCGCCAGUAUUCUGGCGGGCAUGCCUGUCUGAGCGUCAUUUCAACCCUCAUGCCCCUAGGGCGUGGUGUUGGGGAUCGGCCAAAGCCCGCGAGGGACGGCCGGCCCCUAAAUCUAGUGGCGGACCCGUCGUGGCCUCCUCUGCGAAGUAGUGAUAUUCCGCAUCGGAGAGCGACGAGCCCCUGCCGUUAAACCCCCAACUUCCCAAGGUUGACCUCAGAUCAGGUAGGAAUACCCGCUGAACUUAAGCAUAUCAAUAAGCGGAGGA